rnacentral:rRNA from 1 species
UACGUAGGGGGCGAGCGUUGUCCGGAAUUAUUGGGCGUAAAGCGCGCGUAGGCGGUCUGUUAAGUCCGAUGUGAAAACUCUCGGCUCAACUGGGAGAGGCCAUUGGAAACUGAUGGGCUAGAGUGCAGGAGAGGGAAGUGGAAUUCCUAGUGUAGCGGUGAAAUGCGCAGAUAUUAGGAAGAACACCAGUGGCGAAGGCGGCUUCCUGGACUGUUACUGACGCUGAGGUGCGAAAGCUAGGGGAGCGAACAGG